rnacentral:rRNA from 1 species
AUACGUAGGUGACAAGCGUUAUCCGGAUUUACUGGGCGUAAAGGGCGUGUAGGCGGUCUUGCAAGUCAGAAGUGAAAUUCCUGAGCUCAACUCGGGCGCUGCUUCUGAAACUGCAGGACUUGAGUGCUGGAGGGGAUAGCGGAAUUCCUAGUGGAGCGGUAAAAUGCGCAGAUAUUAGGAAGAACACCGGUGGCGAAGGCGGCUAUCUGGACAGUAACUGACGCUGAGGCGCGAAAGCGUGGGGAGCAAACAGGAUUAGAUACCCUGGUGGUCCACGCCGUAAACGAUGAAUACUAGGUGUAGGGGGUAUCGACUCCCUCUGUGCCGCAGUUAACACAAUAAGUAUUCCGCCUGGGGAGUACGGCCGCAAGGUUGAAACUUAAAGGAAUUGACGGGG